rnacentral:rRNA from 1 species
UACGGGGGGAGCAAGCGUUGUUCGGAUUUACUGGGCGUAAAGGGCGCGUAGGCGGCCACCGCAAGUCGAUUGUGAAAUCUCCGGGCUUAACCCGGAAAGGUCAACCGAUACUGCGGGGCUAGAGUGCGGAAGGGGCAACUGGAAUUCUUGGUGUAGCGGUGAAAUGCGUAGAUAUCAAGAGGAACACCUGCGGCGAAGGCGGGUUGCUGGGCCGACACUGACGCUGAUGCGCGAAAGCUAGGGGAGCAAACGGG